UACGAAGGGGGCUAGCGUUGCUCGGAAUCACUGGGCGUAAAGGGUGCGUAGGCGGGUCUUUAAGUCAGGGGUGAAAUCCUGGAGCUCAACUCCAGAACUGCCUUUGAUACUGAAGAUCUUGAGUUCGGGAGAGGUGAGUGGAACUGCGAGUGUAGAGGUGAAAUUCGUAGAUAUUCGCAAGAACACCAGUGGCGAAGGCGGCUCACUGGCCCAUAACUGACGCUGAGGCACGAAAGCGUGGGGAGCGAACCGG
rnacentral:rRNA from 1 species